UGAUUCAACAUUGAAAGCAAUAAAUACAACAUAAUAACCACAGCACAACAUAACAACAACAAGCAGACACGUGUUACCCCAAUUUGAGGGGAGCCAAAAAUCCCUAUCUUGCUUUGAGAAUUAGAACAGCCAAACAAUGCCGGACAUUUUUUUUACACUGGAUCCGUUUUUCAGACCCGGUUACUUUGACCCAAACAAAAUAGAGUUAGGGUUUGUGCAUAAAAACUCUGAGAAGUGGCAAUCCCCUUCGCGUAUUUACAAUUUGCAGUUGUCUAUUCUAGACCUUGAAGAAGCAAAAAGGGUUUUUCAUUCGCGCCAUCUGGUACAAUGAGAGCCAAGUGGAAGAAGAAGCGAAUGAGGAGGUUGAAGAGAAAACGCCGAAAAAUGAGGCAAAGAUCCAAGUAGUUGCAGUUUUAGCUCAACCUUACAAACCCUUAAUUAAUCUUCGCUGUUAUUUCCUUUCUGAACCAUGGAGUAUAUGUUUUUAAUCACUUGAUGUGCGGAAGUUAGCGGUUUUUUUUUUAAUUAUUACGGGAAUGCUACUUUUUUUUAAAAAAAAAAAUAUGUGGCGUGAAUGCAAUUGUUAUGCAAUCCCUGAUAAGUCUCUUGUCCUGCUUUGAUUCUAAAAUUCUAUUCCUAAGUCGCCAAUUGUUGCAAA